rnacentral:rRNA from 1 species
CCUACGGGAGGCAGCAGUGAGGAAUAUUGGUCAAUGGACGAGAGUCUGAACCAGCCAAGUAGCGUGAAGGAUGACUGCCCUAUGGGUUGUAAACUUCUUUUAUAUGGGAAUAAAACGUUCCACGUGUGGGAUUUUGUAUGUACCAUAUGAAUAAGGAUCGGCUAACUCCGUGCCAGCAGCCGCGGUAAUACGGAGGAUCCGAGCGUUAUCCGGAUUUAUUGGGUUUAAAGGGAGCGUAGGUGGUUUGUUAAGUCAGUUGUGAAAGUUUGCGGCUCAACCGUAAAAUUGCAGUUGAAACUGGCAGUCUUGAGUACAGUAGAGGUUGGCGGAAUUCGUGGUGUAGCGGUGAAAUGCUUAGAUAUCACGAAGAACUCCGAUUGCGAAGGCAGUUCACUGGACUGCAACUGACACUGAGGCUCGAAAGUGUGGGUAUCAAACAGGAUUAGAUACCCGGGUAGUC